rnacentral:rRNA from 1 species
AUGAAGGACGUUACUAACGACGAUAUGCUUUGGGGAGCUGUAAGUAAGCUUUGAUCCAGAGAUUUCCGAAUGGGGAAACCCAGCAUGAGUUAUGUCAUGUUAUCGAUAUGUGAAUACAUAGCAUAUCAGAAGGCACACCCGGAGAACUGAAACAUCUUAGUACCCGGAGGAAGAGAAAGAAAAUUCGAUUCCCUUAGUAGCGGCGAGCGAAACGGGAAGAGCCCAAACCAACAAGCUUGCUUGUUGGGGUUGUAGGACACUCUAUACGGAGUUACAAAGGACGACAUUAGACGAAUCAUCUGGAAAGAUGAAUCAAAGAAGGUAAUAAUCCUGUAGUCGAAAAUGUUGUCUCUCUUGAGUGGAUCCUGAGUACGACGGAGCACGUGAAAUUCCGUCGGAAUCUGGGAGGACCAUCUCCUAAGGCUAAAUACUCUCUAGUGACCGAUAGUGAACCAGUACCGUGAGGGAAAGGUGAAAAGCACCCCGGAAGGGGAGUGAAAUAGAACCUGAAACCGUGUGCUUACAAGUAGUCAGAGCCCGUUAAUGGGUGAUGGCGUGCCUUUUGUAGAAUGAACCGGCGAGUUACGAUUUGAUGCAAGGUUAAGCAGUAAAUGUGGAGCCGUAGCGAAAGCGAGUCUGAAUAGGGCGUUUAGUAUUUGGUCGUAGACCCGAAACCAGGUGAUCUACCCUUGGUCAGGUUGAAGUUCAGGUAACACUGAAUGGAGGACCGAACCGACUUACGUUGAAAAGUGAGCGGAUGAACUGAGGGUAGCGGAGAAAUUCCAAUCGAACCUGGAGAUAGCUGGUUCUCUCCGAAAUAGCUUUAGGGCUAGCCUCAAGUGAUGAUUAUUGGAGGUAGAGCACUGUUUGGACGAGGGGCCCCUCUCGGGUUACCGAAUUCAGACAAACUCCGAAUGCCAAUUAAUUUAACUUGGGAGUCAGAACAUGGGUGAUAAGGUCCGUGUUCGAAAGGGAAACAGCCCAGACCACCAGCUAAGGUCCCAAAAUAUAUGUUAAGUGGAAAAGGAUGUGGCGUUGCCCAGACAACUAGGAUGUUGGCUUAGAAGCAGCCAUCAUUUAAAGAGUGCGUAAUAGCUCACUAGUCGAGUGACACUGCGCCGAAAAUGUACCGGGGCUAAACAUAUUACCGAAGCUGUGGAUUGUCCUUUGGACAAUGGUAGGAGAGCGUUCUAAGGGCGUUGAAGCAUGAUCGUAAGGACAUGUGGAGCGCUUAGAAGUGAGAAUGCCGGUGUGAGUAGCGAAAGACGGGUGAGAAUCCCGUCCACCGAUUGACUAAGGUUUCCAGAGGAAGGCUCGUCCGCUCUGGGUUAGUCGGGUCCUAAGCUGAGGCCGACAGGCGUAGGCGAUGGAUAACAGGUUGAUAUUCCUGUACCACCUAUAAUCGUUUUAAUCGAUGGGGGGACGCAGUAGNAUAGGCGAAGCGUGCGAUUGGAUUGCACGUCUAAGCAGUAAGGCUGAGUAUUAGGCAAAUCCGGUACUCGUUAAGGCUGAGCUGUGAUGGGGAGAAGACAUUGUGUCUUCGAGUCGUUGAUUUCACACUGCCGAGAAAAGCCUCUAGAUAGAAAAUAGGUGCCCGUACCGCAAACCGACACAGGUAGUCAAGAUGAGAAUUCUAAGGUGAGCGAGCGAACUCUCGUUAAGGAACUCGGCAAAAUGACCCCGUAACUUCGGGAGAAGGGGUGCUCUUUAGGGUUAACGCCCAGAAGAGCCGCAGUGAAUAGGCCCAAGCGACUGUUUAUCAAAAACACAGGUCUCUGCUAAACCGUAAGGUGAUGUAUAGGGGCUGACGCCUGCCCGGUGCUGGAAGGUUAAGAGGAGUGGUUAGCUUCUGCGAAGCUACGAAUCGAAGCCCCAGUAAACGGCGGCCGUAACUAUAACGGUCCUAAGGUAGCGAAAUUCCUUGUCGGGUAAGUUCCGACCCGCACGAAAGGCGUAACGAUUUGGGCACUGUCUCAACGAGAGACUCGGUGAAAUCAUAGUACCUGUGAAGAUGCAGGUUACCCGCGACAGGACGGAAAGACCCCGUGGAGCUUUACUGUAGCCUGAUAUUGAAAUUCGGCACAGCUUGUACAGGAUAGGUAGGAGCCUUUGAAACGUGAGCGCUAGCUUACGUGGAGGCGCUGGUGGGAUACUACCCUAGCUGUGUUGGCUUUCUAACCCGCACCACUUAUCGUGGUGGGAGACAGUGUCAGGCGGGCAGUUUGACUGGGGCGGUCGCCUCCUAAAAGGUAACGGAGGCGCUCAAAGGUUCCCUCAGAAUGGUUGGAAAUCAUUCAUAGAGUGUAAAGGCAUAAGGGAGCUUGACUGCGAGACCUACAAGUCGAGCAGGGUCGAAAGACGGACUUAGUGAUCCGGUGGUUCCGCAUGGAAGGGCCAUCGCUCAACGGAUAAAAGCUACCCCGGGGAUAACAGGCUUAUCUCCCCCAAGAGUUCACAUCGACGGGGAGGUUUGGCACCUCGAUGUCGGCUCAUCGCAUCCUGGGGCUGUAGUCGGUCCCAAGGGUUGGGCUGUUCGCCCAUUAAAGCGGUACGCGAGCUGGGUUCAGAACGUCGUGAGACAGUUCGGUCCCUAUCCGUCGUGGGCGUAGGAAAUUUGAGAGGAGCUGUCCUUAGUACGAGAGGACCGGGAUGGACAUACCUCUGGUGUACCAGUUGUCGUGCCAACGGCAUAGCUGGGUAGCUAUGUGUGGACGGGAUAAGUGCUGAAAGCAUCUAAGCAUGAAGCCUCCCUCAAGAUGAGAUUUCCCAACUUCGGUUAUAAGAUCCCUCAAAGAUGAUGAGGUUAAUAGGUUCGAGGUGGAAGCAUGGUGACAUGUGGAGCUGACGAAUACUAAUCGAUCGAAGACUUAAUCAA